UACAGAGGUCUCAAGCGUUGUUCGGAUUCAUUGGGCGUAAAGGGUGCGUAGGUGGCGCCGUAAGUCAGGUGUGAAAUUUCGGAGCUUAACUCCGAAACUGCAUUUGAUACUGCGGUGCUUGAGGACUGGAGAGGAGACUGGAAUUUACGGUGUAGCAGUGAAAUUCGUAGAUAUCGAGAAGAACACCGGUGGCGAAGGCGGCCAUCUGGACGGUGACUGACGCUGAGACGCGAAAGCGUGGGGAGCAAACAGG
rnacentral:rRNA from 1 species